GUCACAGAGAUCUCCAAUGGCAGCAUCAGGAUUGGCUCUUAAGAUGUUGGACUCUGAAUCCAGCUUGCCUUCAUCUCCUUCACAAUGGGCUCUCACAGCUGCUGCUGAAUCUACCCCUUUUCUCACCCAAAGCAAACAGAGCAGGUCCCUCCCGCCUUCCAGAAUUCCCUGAGUGACACCCUGAGCCUACGUUAAGGAGAGGAGCAAAACUGGACAGCAGGCAGCAGCUGCAUAGUUUCCAGCAUACCCACCCCUGGACCCUGAUGGUUCAUGGAUGCAACAGGUGCUCCUUGCAGGCUCUUCGCUCUAAGGCAGUGACUGCCUUGUGGGUGAAUAUUUGCCAUUCUGAAGGAGUCAGGAGGAUUGGAGUGAUCCCGUGGCGGCCAGCACUAUCUGGACCAGCUGCUCCCUCCUCCUCUGGAGGGAGAACCCAAGUAAUGAGCUUCAGUUAUAGAGUAUUUUGAACCUCACAACAAUCCUGCGAGAUAAAUGUGGAAAUGGCAUUCCCAUUUUAUGGAUGAGAAAACUGAGUCUUCAAAGAUCUGAGGUGACUUUAAGGACACAACUUUUAUUCAGAGAACCAAUCUGAUUCUCAAGAUUAACAUAUUAUAAUUUGGGAAAAGUUUCUGGCUUCAUUUGCUCAGAACUUGGGAUCCCAGCUAAGAUGAUCAACUCAGAAAU
rnacentral:lncRNA from 1 species